CGGAAUGGCUUUACACAUGCAAGUUCGAACGGCAGCGACGGGGGCAACCCUGGUGGCGAGUGGCGAACGGGUGAGUAAUACAUCGGAACGUGCCCAGUCGGUGGGGGAUAACGUAGCGAAAGCUACGCUAAUACCGCAUACGAUCUACGGAUGAAAGCGGGGGAUCGCAAGACCUCGCGCGAUUGGAGCGGCCGAUGGCAGAUUAGGUAGUUGGUGGGGUAAAGGCUCACCAAGCCUUCGAUCUGUAGCUGGUCUGAGAGGACGACCAGCCACACUGGGACUGAGACACGGCCCAGACUCCUACGGGAGGCAGCAGUGGGGAAUUUUGGACAAUGGGCGAAAGCCUGAUCCAGCCAUUCCGCGUGCAGGAUGAAGGCCCUCGGGUUGUAAACUGCUUUUGUACGGAACGAAACGGCCUUUUCUAAUACAGAGGGCUAAUGACGGUACCGUAAGAAUAAGCACCGGCUAACUACGUG
rnacentral:rRNA from 1 species